rnacentral:rRNA from 1 species
UUCUGACGGGGUGCAGCAGGCGCGAAACCUCCGCAAUGCACGCAAGUGCGACGGGGGAACCCCAAGUGCCACUCUUAACGGGGUGGCUUUUCAGAAGUGUAAAAAGCUUCUGGAAUAAGGGCUGGGCAAGACCGGUGCCAGCCGCCGCGGUAACACCGGCAGCUCAAGUGGUAGCCGCUUUUAUUGGGCCUAAAGCGUCCGUAGCCGGUCUGAUAAGUCUCUGGUGAAAUCCCACAGCUUAACUGUGGGAAUUGCUGGAGAUACUAUCAUGACUCGAGGUCGGGAGAGGCUGGAGGUACUCCCAGGGUAGGGGUGGAAUCCUGUAAUCCUGGGAGGACCACCUGUGGCGAAGGCGUCCAGCUGGAACGAACCUGACGGUGAGGGACGAAAGCCAGGGGCGCGAACCGGAUUAGAUACCCGGGUAGUCCUGGCCGUAAACGAUGUGGACUUGGUGUUGGGAUGGCUUCGAGCUGCCCCAGUGCCGAAGGGAAGCUGUUAAGUCCACCGCCUGGGAAGUACGGCCGCAAGGCUGAAACUUAAAUGU